UACGUAGGUGGCUAGCGUUGUCCGGAUUUACUGGGCGUAAAGAGCGCGCAGGCGGUCGUUCAAGUCGAGUGUGAAAGCCCCCGGCUCAACUGGGGAGGGUCACUCGAUACUGAUCGACUCGAAGGCAGGAGAGGGAAGCGGAAUUCCCGGUGUAGUGGUGAAAUGCGUAGAUAUCGGGAGGAACACCAGUGGCGAAGGCGGCUACCUGGACCGGUUCUGACGCUGAUGCGCGAAAGCGUGGGUAGCAAACAGG
rnacentral:rRNA from 1 species